UACGGGGGGGGUAAGCGUUGUUCGGAAUUACUGGGCGUAAAGGGCUCGUAGGCGGCCAACUAAGUCAUACGUGAAAUCCCUCAGCUUAACUGGGGAACUGCGUGUGAUACUGGAUGGCUUGGAUUUGGGAGAGGGAUGCGGAAUUCCAGGUGUAGCGGUGAAAUGCGUAGAUAUCUGGAGGAACACCGGUGGCGAAGGCGGCAUCCUGGACCAAUAUUGACGCUGAGUGAGCGAAAGCCAGGGGAGCAAACGGG
rnacentral:rRNA from 1 species